CCCAACUUAAGUCGCAUUCAAGUGUUCAAUGCAUUUGAGAAGAUAAUGGAUAGCAACCCGGAAAAGUUUUAUUUGUUGAAGUCACUUCCUGAUGAUGAAAAAAGAGAUUUUAUUCUCUUUAUUCUUAAGGAGUAGUUUCUAGUUUUCAGGUCGGACUACUUUUCUUCAUCUCAAUGUUAUUCUUCACAAUAUUUUUAACCGAAUAUUUCUAAUUUUUUGAUGAUUUCUUAUGAAUGCAUUAGGGUUUGGUGAUUUUGAUGGAUUCUUAGCUAAUUCAAGUAAGGAGUGCUUGUCUCAUCUCAAAGGUCAAGCGUGAUAUUGUGCUGAGAGUGCUUGUGCUUUGGUCUCACCUUUUUCGGUUCUCAUUGUCAUUUGAUAUAGCUUGCUGCUUUGUCGAAUGAUUGUAGCUUAUAUGUAAGGGUUAAUUGCAUAUACUCUCUGUGGUAUCGUUUUUAAAUUGCAACCCCUGUAGUGUACACUGUUGCAGAUGUGCCCUUGGGUUAAAAUUGUGACUGUUUUACCUUUGGACUUACUAAUUUCUAGCUGAAGUCAAACAAAAGGAUAUUGGAUUCGUUUGAUGUUA